rnacentral:rRNA from 4 species
UCCAGAGAUGGAUUGGUGCCUUCGGGAACUGUGAGACAGGUGCUGCAUGGCUGUCGUCAGCUCGUGUUGUGAAAUGUUGGGUUAAGUCCCGCAACGAGCGCAACCCUUAUCCUUUGUUGCCAGCGAUUAGGUCGGGAACUCAAAGGAGACUGCCAGUGAUAAACUGGAGGAAGGUGGGGAUGACGUCAAGUCAUCAUGGCCCUUACGACCAGGGCUACACACGUGCUACAAUGGCGCAUACAAAGAGAAGCGACCUCGCGAGAGCAAGCGGACCUCAUAAAGUGCGUCGUAGUCCGGAUUGGAGUCUGCAACUCGACUCCAUGAAGUCGGAAUCGCUAGUAAUCGUGGAUCAGAAUGCCACGGUGAAUACGUUCCCGGGCCUUGUACACACCGCCCGUCACACCAUGGGAGUGGGUUGCAAAAGAAGUAGGUAGCUUAACCUUCGGGAGGGCGCUUACCACUUUGUGAUUCAUGACUGGGGUGAAGUCGUAACAAGGUAACCGUAGGGGAACCUGCGGUUGGA